CAGCAGCCGCGGUAAUACGGAGGGUGCAAGCGUUAAUCGGAAUUACUGGGCGUAAAGCGCACGCAGGCGGUCUGACAAGUCAGAUGUGAAAUCCCCGGGCUUAACCUGGGAACUGCAUUUGAAACUGUCAGGCUGGAGUCUUGUAGAGGGGGGUGGAAUUCCAGGUGUAGCGGUGAAAUGCGUAGAGAUCUGGAGGAAUACCGGUGGCGAAGGCGGCCCCCUGGACAAAGACUGACGCUCAGGUGCGAAAGCGUGGGGAGCAAACAGGAUUAGAUACCUGAGUAGUCCCUGUCUCUUAUAC
rnacentral:rRNA from 1 species